AGCGAACGCUGGCGGUAGGCCUAACACAUGCAAGUCGAACGGCAGCACAGUAAGAGCUUGCUCUUACGGGUGGCGAGUGGCGGACGGGUGAGGAAUACAUCGGAAUCUACUUUUUCGUGGGGGAUAACGUAGGGAAACUUACGCUAAUACCGCAUACGACCUACGGGUGAAAGCAGGGGAUCUUCGGACCUUGCGCGAUUGAAUGAGCCGAUGUCGGAUUAGCUAGUUGGCGGGGUAAAGGCCCACCAAGGCGACGAUCCGUAGCUGGUCUGUGAGGAUGAUCAGCCACACUGGAACUGAGACACGGUCCAGACUCCUACGGGAGGCAGCAGUGGGGAAUAUUGGACAAUGGGCGCAAGCCUGAUCCAGCCAUACCGCGUGGGUGAAGAAGGCCUUCGGGUUGUAAAGCCCUUUUGUUGGGAAAGAAAAGCAGCAGGUUAAUACCCCGCUGUUCUGACGGUACCCAAAGAAUAAGCACCGGCUAACUUCGUG
rnacentral:rRNA from 1 species